UCCCCAGUAGCUCAGUUGGUUAGAGCGUCGUACUUAUAAAAUGCGAAGGUCGAGAGUUCGAGACUCUCCUGGGGAA